AUUGAACGCUGGCGGCAUGCCUUACACAUGCAAGUCGAACGGCAGCACGGGAGCAAUCCUGGUGGCGAGUGGCGAACGGGUGAGUAAUAUAUCGGAACGUGCCCAGUCGUGGGGGAUAACGCAGCGAAAGCUGUGCUAAUACCGCAUACGAUCUAUGGAUGAAAGCGGGGGAUCGCAAGACCUCGCGCGAUUGGAGCGGCCGAUAUCAGAUUAGCUAGUUGGUGGGGUAAAGGCCAACCAAGGCGACGAUCUGUAGCUGGUCUGAGAGGACGACCAGCCACACUGGAACUGAGACACGGUCCAGACUCCUACGGGAGGCAGCAGUGGGGAAUUUUGGACAAUGGGCGCAAGCCUGAUCCAGCAAUGCCGCGUGCAGGAUGAAGGCCUUCGGGUUGUAAGCUGCUUUUGUACAGAACGAAACGGUCCUUUCUAAUACAGAGGGCUAAUGACGGUACCGUAAGAAUAAGCACCGGCUAACUACGUGCCAGCCGCCGCCGUAA
rnacentral:rRNA from 1 species